rnacentral:rRNA from 1 species
GACGAACGCUGGCGGCGUGCUUAACACAUGCAAGUCGAACGGUAAGGCCCUUCGGGGUACACGAGUGGCGAACGGGUGAGUAACACGUGAGUGAUCUGCCCUGCACUUCGGGAUAAGCCUGGGAAACUGGGUCUAAUACCGGAUAGGACUCCUGGCUUCAUGGUUGGGGGUGGAAAGCUUUUGCGGUGUGGGAUGGGCCCGCGGCCUAUCAGCUUGUUGGUGGGGUAAUGGCCUACCAAGGCGACGACGGGUAGCCGGCCUGAGAGGGUGACCGGUCACACUGGGACUGAGAUACGGCCCAGACUCCUACGGGAGGCAGCAGUGGGGAAUAUUGCACAAUGGGCGCAAGCCUGAUGCAGCGACGCCGCGCGAGGGAUGACGGCCUUCGGGUUGUAAACCUCUUUCAGCUAUGACGAAGCGCAAGUGACGGUAGUAGCAGAAGAAGGACCGGCCAACUACGUGCCAGCAGCCGCCGUAA